GCUCCACUAUACUUCAUUUUUUAAAGGUAAGAAGAUAAUAGCAGAAGUAGGAGGUGAGAGGUGACUGAGGAUUCAGAGAAACAAGAGUUCAGAGUAACAGGUAGAAGGUGCUACUAGUGCUGUUGAUCUAAGCAUCACUCUGAGAACUACUAAUUCUAAUCUAUUAGCAUGGUGAGUAAGAACUGAAGCUUGGUUUUGAAUGUUGAUUCAACUAGUCAAUGCUUUAGGCAUAUAUGUAAUUCUCUCUAAUCUUUAGUUUUCUUAUUUUAAAAUGAGGACAAUAACUGUACAUGGCUCAUGUAGUUGUGAUUUCUAAAUGAGAUAGUAUACUUAAAACC
rnacentral:lncRNA from 1 species